CAGCACAGCAUGGCAGUGGCGGAGUGGGGUGGUGGCAGGAGGCCCCCCCCCCGGUCAUUUAGAGCUCCCCCAGACCUUGGAGACCAUGGACUGGGGCCCCAAGGUCCGGGGGUAAGAGCACCUCUGCUGGUGGGUCAGAUCCAGCAGAAAAAAUGAACACAUCCCCUAAUCGAAUGGGACUCCUGGUUUCCUUUUGAAGGAUGUUGGGUUCCUUCUUUCAAGCUGGAGGAUUUCUACCCUUGUGGAAAAAUUACUGCAAUUAGGCAAAAUAAGGAAAGACAAGUAGGGAAAGGCUCCAUGGCAGGGGAAGAUGUGUGCACUCAAACAUCCUUAUACACAGGCAAGCUGAUGAAGUAUCAUCUGAACCAGCGCUUUGUGAAAGACCUUCAUAUGUCGAGAACUUCCACAACAUCCGAAGUGUCUACCAACUUCUUACGAUAUAAUCACAAGCUCUAAAAGGACAUCGCAGAUGAAGAAAGCAGUAUUUUCAAGCUUUAAGAAGAAUGUAAACCAAUGCACCAAAACUACUCACAAACAUUGACUUUCAAAUAGCAACACAACUAUAAAGCGCCCUCCUUAUGCCAUAAAAUGAGUUUCAAAAAUAUGCUGUUUUAAGUAUCUAGCAUUAACAUGAAAUGUAGUAGUUUAAAUGCAUCUAUCGUAAGAAAUAGGGUAUGAAUUCACAAAUGAAAAAAGCAGGCAAAUGUAUUGAAAAUGUGUUUAAACCGUGACAAAUGUGGAUUUGGAAAUGGAAUUGCAAAGGAUUUAAAAUGACUUUUAAAAAAUAGUUGUUUGGUUCAAUACACCAGUGAGUAUUUCAUAGAGCACUUACCAUGUAAUCUUCUUUUCCGGAAAUCAUACCCCCAGAAUAAAUAUUUUAACUGUUA